AGAGCCUGGCUGCACCUCUCCUAGACCCAUUUAACAGCUGACUGCCAGUAGGAAAGGGUCUCUUCUGGAGAUCCCUCCUCUGGAGUUUCAUAGCGAGCCCAGGAUGUGGCAGUACCAAAAGGUGAAGUGCUUUAGAAACAAAUCCACUUUGGAGAUAACCUUCUGUAUGGGAACUGCUGAAUCACAGCCUGAACCUCUGAUCGAUCACCUGAGCACUGAGUCAGCCACGGGAGCACAGGUGCAGGCAGUUCACCUGUGCUGCUGGAAGGGGCAGAGCCUGGCUGCACCUCUCCUACACCCAUUUAACAGCUGACUGCCAGUAGGAAAGGAUCUCUUCUGGAGAUCCCUCCUCUGGAGUUUUGCAGCAAGCCCAGGAUGUGGCUGUCCUCUGCACUUAUCCAAAUCUACAAGAAGUCACCAAGGAAGAAUUAUAAAAAGCAUUAAAUGCAAUUGCACUCUAUGAAGAAAAGAAACCUCUGUAUGUUGUUGAAGACAAAAACAACGACCUGAGUAACCUGAUGGCAAUAUCAAAGUUUAUCCUGCUUUGCUUGGAGGAUGGAUGAGAUGACCUUUUGACCUCCCUUUCAAAUUAAAUUUUCUAUGAUUCUAAAACAAAUGGCAUAGCUUACUUUUGGUCAGUAUUUUUCAUUCAAGCAGCAUCCAUGCAAAUUAUAAUAAACAAUUAAUUAGUCAGACAGAAGCCAAGCAUGUUUCACAACACAUACCCUUCCCUGGCACUCUCCAAUGACGACUGAUGGUGAUGCGGACUGGAAAGGGCAGAGUCAAGAGGAUGAUGUCUUGAAGGGAUGUCAUGAGGCAGUAUACCUGGUGAGGGACCAUUAUGGUUUGCGCUGGAACCACUGUACAUGCCUGUGAAACAUACAUCAGGUUGCAAAAUA